GAUGAACGCUGGCGGCGUGCCUAAUACAUGCAAGUCGAGCGAACGGACGAGAAGCUUGCUUCUCUGAUGUUAGCGGCGGACGGGUGAGUAACACGUGGAUAACCUACCUAUAAGACUGGGAUAACUUCGGGAAACCGGAGCUAAUACCGGAUAAUAUUUUGAACCGCAUGGUUCAAAAGUGAAAGACGGUCUUGCUGUCACUUAUAGAUGGAUCCGCGCUGCAUUAGCUAGUUGGUAAGGUAACGGCUUACCAAGGCAACGAUGCAUAGCCGACCUGAGAGGGGGAUCGGCCACACUGGAACUUAGACACGGUCCAGACGCCUACGGGAGGCAGCAGUAGGGAAUCUUCCGCAAUGGGCGAAAGCCUGACGGAGCAACGCCGCGUGAGUGAUGAAGGUCUUCGGAUCGUAAAACUCUGUUAUUAGGGAAGAACAUAUGUGUAAGUAACUGUGCACAUCUUGACGGUACCUAAUCAGAAAGCCACGGCUAACUACGUG
rnacentral:rRNA from 1 species